UCCCUGGUGGCUCAGACGGUAAAGCGUCUGCCUGCAGUGUGGGAAACCUGGGUUCAGUUCCUGGUUUGGGAG
rnacentral:tRNA from 1 species